CCUACGGGAGGCAGCAGUGAGGAAUAUUGGUCAAUGGGCGGAAGCCUGAACCAGCCAAGUCGCGUGAGGGAAUAAGGCCCUACGGGUCGUAAACCUCUUUUGCCGGGGAGCAAGGGCCGGGACGCGUCCCGGCCCGGAGAGUACCCGGAGAAAAAGCAUCGGCUAACUCCGUGCCAGCAGCCGCGGUAAUACGGAGGAUGCGAGCGUUAUCCGGAUUUAUUGGGUUUAAAGGGUGCGCAGGCGGAGGCACAAGUCAGCGGUAAAAUCGCGGGGCUCAACCCCGCUCCGCCGUUGAAACUGUGUCCCUUGAGUGCGCGAAGGGUAGGCGGAAUGCGUGGUGUAGCGGUGAAAUGCAUAGAUAUCAUACAGAACACCGAUUGCGAAGGCAGCUUACCAAUCUAUAUCUGACGUUGAGGCACGAAAGCGUGGGGAGCAAACAGGAUUAGAUACCCUAGUAGUC
rnacentral:rRNA from 1 species